AUUGAACGCUAGCGGCAUGCUUAACACAUGCAAGUCGAACGGUAACAGCGGAGCUUGCUCCGGCUGACGAGUGGCGGACGGGUGAGUAAUGCUUAGGAAUCUGCCCAGUAGCGGGGGACAACUCGGAGAAAUCCGAGCUAAUACCGCAUACGCCCUACGGGGGAAAGCAGGGGAUCUUCGGACCUUGCACUAUUGGAUGAGCCUAAGUCAGAUUAGCUUGUUGGUGGGGUAAUGGCCUACCAAGGCGACGAUCUGUAGCUGGUCUGAGAGGACGAUCAGCCACACUGGAACUGAGACACGGUCCAG
rnacentral:rRNA from 1 species